CUGGGCUGCAGAAGCACUGGAUGCAGCACGUGGUGGAGGGCUACAGCAGACGGAAAAGAGCAACAACGAACUUCACCUACGACAGUUCUAGAGAGUACUCCAAGGACAGCUCGGUGCGGGUGGUGCUGGGACUCUCACACUUGGAUGCCGCCUUCUAUCUGUUAUUCCUUGGCAAUGCAUUGGCUUUGUUUACCUUCCUCGUGGAGAUCAUCACCGCAUGUUGACAAAUCAUACAUCACUGUAUCUAUUGUUCAAGGGGGCAGGAUGGCUUAGCAGUCAGUGCAAAAGACUGAUGUGGUGAUUCCAUAGUCCCGAGUUGAAGUCCUGCCGCUACCAGCUGAUAUUCUCAAUUCUCGCCAAGAGGCUGAAGAUCGCCCACAGGCUGUCUAGGUGUUCAUCAAUCAUCCCGACCUUCAGAUCGGCGACAGCUGUCAGGGAAAGCACUGGGGAGCAGCAUGUGCCAAGCAGGGAUAUAUUAUUGGGUCACCAUUAAUUAAAACAAAUCUGCCUGUGACACUGGUAGUUUGCCUGGCCUCCGGUGCCCAGCAGGAAAGAUAACUGAUGUUUUGUUAUUGCACGAAAAUGAAAGAAAAUAAAUUGUUUCACUCUG